rnacentral:rRNA from 1 species
UACGUAGGAGGCGAGCGUUGUCCGGAGUUACUGGGCGUAAAGGGUGCGCAGGCGGCCCGACAGGUGUGUGGUGAAAUCUCCCGGCUUACCUGGGAGGGGGCCACGCAAACCGUUGGGCUUGAGGCUCGGGGAGGGGCGUGGAAUUCCGGGUGGAGCGGUGAAAUGCGUAGAUAUAGGGAAGAACACCAAUCAGGCGAAGGCAGUUAACUAUUCUAUUCCUGACAUUGAGGCAUGAAAGCGUGGGGAGCAAAACGG